GUUGUUGUUUUUGUGAUGCGUGCUCUCCAACACGUGUUCAUUUCAGUCAAAACAUGUUUUUCUGUUUGUGAAAUAUAAACAGGAAGUGAUGGACAAACUCCAGAGGUUAAAUCAGGAGAUAAGCCGAGCUGUCUAACUAGGACGAUAACUCCGCAGCGCACGUCAUCUGAGGGAAGCAAUCAAAAGCCCUCCGGCUCAACUCGACGCCGCCGCCAUCCCUCGCUCACCUUCAGCUGCUGUUUUGUUCUUCAUUCAUGUCGGGCCUUCCUCCGCCGGCCCGUUUGACUGACAGGUCCUUCUGCACAGCCACUGAACUCCACGAUGGCUGUUGGAGUCGCAGUCUGUGGCCUCGGCUGUGACGGAGCACACGCACCGCCAGCAGAAUGUUAAUACAGCCUCGCAUUACUGUUGAAUAAUGUCAUAAAAUCACUGCUCAUAUUUUUAUAACCGCAUUUGAAUGUUGCUGCAGUUAUUAAGAAGUCAGCCUCGAGGCAGACAUAUUGCCGG
rnacentral:lncRNA from 1 species